rnacentral:hammerhead_ribozyme from 1 species
AUCCAGCUGACGAGUCCCAAAUAUGACGAAUCGCACGUCAUGGAU